rnacentral:rRNA from 1 species
UAGUAACGGCGAGUGAAGCGGCAACAGCUCAAAUUUGAAAUCUGGCUUCGGCCCGAGUUGUAAUUUGCAGAGGAAGCUUUAGGUGCGGCCCCAACUGAGUCCCCUGGAACGGGGCGCCACAGAGGGUGAGAGCCCCGUAUAGUUGGACGCCUAGCCUGUGUAAAGCUCCUUCGACGAGUCGAGUAGUUUGGGAAUGCUGCUCAAAAUGGGAGGUAAAUUUCUUCUAAAGCUAAAUACCGGCCAGAGACCGAUAGCGCACAAGUAGAGUGAUCGAAAGAUGAAAAGCACUUUGAAAAGAGGGUUAAAUAGCACGUGAAAUUGUUGAAAGGGAAGCGCUUGUGACCAGACUUGCGCCGGGCUGAUCAUCCGGUGUUCUCACCGGUGCACUCUGCCCGGCUCAGGCCAGCAUCGGUUCUCGCGGGGGGAUAAAGGCUCCGGGAACGUAGCUCCUCCGGGAGUGUUAUAGCCCGGGGCGUAAUGCCCUCGCGGGGACCGAGGACCGCGCUCU